AGUUUUGCAGGUUUGCAUCCAGCUGUGUGAUAUUCUGCUGUGCAAAUCCAUGCAAAACUGA
ncrna:Tupaia chinensis (Chinese tree shrew) microRNA tch-mir-19b precursor (tch-mir-19b-1)